UACAGAGGGGGGCUAGCGUUGUUCGGAAUUACUGGGCGUAAAGGGCGCGUAGGUGGCCUGUUAAGUCGAACGUGAAAAUCCCCCGGGCUCAACCCCGGGGAACUGCGUCCGAGACUGGCAGGCUCGAAUCCGGGAGAGGGAUGUGGAAUUCCAGGUGUAGCGGUGAAAUGCGUAGAUAUCUGGAGGAACACCGGUGGCGAAGGCGGCAUCCUGGACCGGUAUUGACGCUGAGGCGCGAAAGCCAGGGGAGCAAAGCGGG
rnacentral:rRNA from 1 species